GCGGUACCACCGCCCAAUCGCCGCGGGGCGGGCCAGGGAACCAGGCACAUGGGGUGAAUCCGCAUCAGCGGAGACCACUUCCGGCCCGGACCUGUCAGCUAACCCGGUCGGCGGUCAACGGAAGGGAU
rnacentral:sRNA from 2 species